rnacentral:rRNA from 1 species
GAUGAACGCUGGCGGCGUGCCUAAUACAUGCAAGUCGAGCGAACAGACGAGGAGCUUGCUCCUCUGACGUUAGCGGCGGACGGGUGAGUAACACGUGGAUAACCUACCUAUAAGACUGGGAUAACUUCGGGAAACCGGAGCUAAUACCGGAUAAUAUAUUGAACCGCAUGGUUCAAUAGUGAAAGACGGUUUUGCUGUCACUUAUAGAUGGAUCCGCGCCGCAUUAGCUAGUUGGUAAGGUAACGGCUUACCAAGGCAACGAUGCGUAGCCGACCUGAGAGGGGGAUCGGCCACACUGGAACUGAGACACGGUCCAGACCCCUACGGGAGGCAGCAGUAGGGAAUCUUCCGCAAUGGGCGAAAGCUUGACGGAGCAACGCCGCGUGAGUGAUGAAGGUCUUCGGAUCGUAAAACUCUGUUAUUAGGGAAGAACAAAUGUGUAAGUAACUAUGCACGUCUUGACGGUACCUAAUCAGAAAGCCACGGCUAACUACGUG